rnacentral:rRNA from 1 species
UACGUAGGUGGCGAGCGUUGUCCGGAUUUACUGGGCGUAAAGGGAGCGUAGGCGGACUUUUAAGUGAGAUGUGAAAUACCCGGGCUUAACUUGGGUGCUGCAUUUCAAACUGGAAGUCUAGAGUGCAGGAGAGGAGAAUGGAAUUCCUAGUGUAGCGGUGAAAUGCGUAGAGAUUAGGAAGAACACCAGUGGCGAAGGCGACUCUUUGGUCUAUUACUGACGCUGAGGUACGAAAGCAUGGGUAGCAAACAGGAUUAGAUACCCGGGUAGGUCCCU